rnacentral:tRNA from 1 species
GGGUGCAUAGUUUAAUGGUAAAAUAGACGGCUCCAGACCGUCAGCUGGGGGUUCGAUUCCUCCUGUGCCCA